AGCUUGCUGCUUCGCUGACGAGUGGCGGACGGGUGAGUAAUGUCUGGGAAACUGCCUGAUGGAGGGGGAUAACUACUGGAAACGGUAGCUAAUACCGCAUAACGUCGCAAGACCAAAGAGGGGGACCUUCGGGCCUCUUGCCAUCGGAUGUGCCCAGAUGGGAUUAGCUAGUAGGUGGGGUAACGGCUCACCUAGGCGACGAUCCCUAGCUGGUCUGAGAGGAUGACCAGCCACACUGGAACUGAGACACGGUCCAGACUCCUACGGGAGGCAGCAGUGGGGAAUAUUGCACAAUGGGCGCAAGCCUGAUGCAGCCAUGCCGCGUGUAUGAAGAAGGCCUUCGGGUUGUAAAGUACUUUCAGCGGGGAGGAAGGCGACAAGGUUAAUAACCUUGUCGAUUGACGUUACCCGCAGAAGAAGCACCGGCUAACUCCGUGCCAGCAGCCGCGGUAAUACGGAGGGUGCAAGCGUUAAUCGGAAUUACUGGGCGUAAAGCGCACGCAGGCGGUCUGUCAAGUCGGAUGUGAAAUCCCCGGGCUCAACCUGGGAACUGCAUUCGAAACUGGCAGGCUAGAGUCUUGUAGAGGGGGGUAGAAUUCCAGGUGUAGCGGUGAAAUGCGUAGAGAUCUGGAGGAAUACCGGUGGCGAAGGCGGCCCCCUGGACAAAGACUGACGCUCAGGUGCGAAAGCGUGGGGAGCAAGCAGGAUUAGAUACCCUGGUAGUCCACGCCGUAAACGAUGUCGACUUGGAGGUUGUGCCCUUGAGGCGUGGCUUCCGGAGCUAACGCGUUAAGUCGACCG
rnacentral:rRNA from 1 species